GCCGGGCGUGGUGGCGCACGCCUGUAGUCCCGGCUAUUUAGGAGGCUGAGGCAGGGCAAUCGCUUGAGCCCGGGAGGACGAGGUUGCAGUGAGCGGAGAUCGCGCCACCGCACUCCAGCCUGGGCUACAGAGUGAGACGCCGUCUCAA
rnacentral:SRP_RNA from 1 species